rnacentral:rRNA from 1 species
CACGUAGGGGGCGAGCGUUGUCCGGAUUCAUUGGGCGUAAAGCGCGCGCAGGCGGCUCGGAAAGUCGGAUGUGAAAACCUGGGGCUCAACCCCGGGCGUGCAUCCGAUACUGUCGGGCUUGAGGCAGGUAGGGGAGAUCGGAAUUCCUGGUGUAGCGGUGAAAUGCGCAGAUAUCAGGAGGAACACCGGUGGCGAAGGCGGAUCUCUGGGCCUGUCCUGACGCUGAGGCGCGAAAGCUAGGGGAGCGAACAGG